AUGAUGUUCAGAAAUGAGGUCACCAGACUAGAUGCCAUCACAGCCAUUCUCUGCAUUGAAUCAUCCAUGACCACCUCGGCCAUUGUGGACAGUGUCGGGAAUGCCCUGCACUCCAAUUUCACUGAGAAUCCUGAUCAGGAAUAUGCCAAGCAAGAGAGGUUGAUCCUGGAGAAGCUGAGUUCUAUAGAUGAAUUUCCCGACAUAAUCAGCAUACAGGGAUCAAUAACCGGAUGAGAAUGGAGGUCGAACAAGCUGUGGCUCAUGAGCAGGUGGGUGUUUAACUUUUAUGCCCUCACCAACCUCACAGUAAAAUCCAAGUUGAAUACAUUACAUCAUAAGCUGCUUCUUAGUCUGGCUUUGUAGAAUUCCAUCGUAGAAUGCUUUUUCAAACUCCCUUGGUGUUAUAUAAACUUUCUAACCCUCUAAGGUGUUUUUCUUUGUGUUGGUGUCUUUGUUAAAUGUCACUCCAUAUGGAGGGUUCGUUUGUAAUUUACUUUUGGCUACUGUUUAGUAAAAGUAAAUGAAAAAUGAUUCCAAGUAA